rnacentral:pre_miRNA from 1 species
AGUGGGAUAACUGGGUCCAAUGGUUCCAAGUUUUCUGAGGAGUCUUCAUACUGCUUUCCAGAAUGGUUGCACCAAUUUGCAGUCCCACCAGCAAU